GCGCGGCCGCGGAGGGUGGCGGUUGCUGGGGAACGGCGGCGGCGGCGCCUGCGCAGUGGCGGCGGCGCGCGGCGACGGCGGCGCGUGGCAGGAAGCGGAAGGAGGCCGGUUGGGAUCAAUCCCUGACGUGUCUCUUGGAGGCCGCCGCCGCCGCUUGCUCUUUGCACCCGUCGGGCGGCCGCCAUGGGGAGCUCAGCUCCCCAGAGGAUGCAGAGAUUUAGCAGGGUCAUACACUGCAGAAACACUGGUGAAACCCUGGCGUUUAACUGUAUGAGGCUUAAAACCAAGACCUAAAAGACCCUGUUUUUCAUCAUGUGCUCCUUGACAUCCUCAUGCUUAGCAGCACUCUUCCAGAAAGAACAUCUCCUGCUCCCGUGCGACUGUACACAGAAGGAGAGGCAAGAAUUAUUGCUAUUUGGGAUGCCAUGUCCAAUUACAUCCUGGAAGAGCUGAUGCGGAACAAGGUGGGCUGGUGUCCUGGUCGCCCUCGCCCUGGAGGGUUUCAGCUGUGCGGAGAGCCCUGGGUGCCUGGGAGCAACCCUGCCCCCAGCCCCCGGGCAGCACACCACAACUGGCCCGUGUGCUGCAGAGCAGCUUUUUGGCCAGCCGGCAGAGAAACCACGCACAGCUCUAGUGUGAGAAAGUGUUUGGCACAUCCCGGGGCUUCCCUCUUCCCUGUGGCCCCAGAGGAAAGAGCAAGCAGAGAGACAGGCAUCUGUGCCAGGGCUGUUGGAAACCCCUGGCAUCUUCUCUAGCUGAGGGAGGGACGUUCGCAAACCUUUCAAGGAGGGUGAGGACACAAUGCGGAGAAUGUGGCUCUUCUCUAAAGCCUUCCCCAAGUGCCCCAUUGCACRUCAGGAGUGGGGAGGGCACAGAGCAGCGUUCCCAUGCUCUGACAAACAUCGCUUUUCCCAUCUCCAAAGGACUUCCUUGUGGGCCUUUGUGUCUUUGCYGUGUGCAGGCUGCCCUACUAGCGGGGCUCGGCACCUUCUGAACCAUCCGAGAGCCACUGCGCCUUGGCAAAGCUGACGUGCUGAUGGUUCAAAGGCCUGUCUUCCAGCUGGGCACGGACACGGUCUGGCUGCAGGUGCUCCAGCACCCCAGAGUGACUCUCCCUGGUGAGGUGGCAGCAGCCACCCUCUGCUUCCCCUGGCCACACCACGUACGGGGUGAGUGGCUGCUCCCUGCUCUUUGAGAGGGGCAGGGAGAAGUAGGGAUGUCCAGCUCCAUCGCCCCACAGAGAGCUCUUUCUGAGAAGGACCUUUUCUGUAGUAGUUUGCACUACAGAAUAUUGCACACAGUUGGGUGCGUGCUCUCUCUCGCUCUCUCUCGCUCUCUCUCGCUCUCUCUCGCUCUCUCGCUCUCGCUCUCUCUCUCUCUCUCUCUCUCUCUCUCUCUCUCUCUUUGAACUGCCCUAACAACUGGCUCCACACCACUCACCUUUCUUGACGGCCCAACAAUGGAAUUUGGCCUGCUGUGGCAGUGGCGUUGUUCCUCUUCUGUGUAGACAACAUCAAGAUCAAGCCRCUGAACUACCGGCAGUUGUCCCUGGCCACCUCCUUCUCGAGGCACRUGGUGGAAGACUGUGUGGAAGAGACUGUCCACUUGUUCUCUUCCCACGUGAGGAACAGAGAGAAGGUCGCCUUGCCUUCAGGAACAUCAGGGUUCUGACUUGCCAAAAAGACAAAGUGCACAUGAGGUUUUAUGCCCACUGCACCCAGCGGCUGGAGGGCACUGCAAACCSGAUUGCGGCCC
rnacentral:lncRNA from 1 species